GAGAGAGAGAGAGAGAAGUGAAAUACUAUUUGGUCUUGACAAACAAAUGCCUGGCUUGAGAGAAAAAACCAUAAUGUAAAUAAAUGCAACAAUUCUACAUAUAGUUUUUGGGGUAUCAAAUCUCAAGUAAUACUUGCAAUCCUAAAUCUCCUGUGCCACCAUUGGCUUGAUUAAUAUUUAUAAGGAACCAAAGGAAGGUCCUAAGUGAAUAUCUGAUUGCAAGAUUGUAUUUUUACAUGUGUAUACAAUUCUCUAAUUUAUUUAAACACAAAAAACUUGUGACAAACAAAAAGUGACUAAAGAAUGAUCUGACGGUGACGGAAGAAUUUUCUCAUCUUCUCACACCAGUCAAAGCAUGUUUAUCCCACGUAGUGAGUGAGUGUGUGCGUGUGCGUGUGUGCUCAAGUGUGCGUGUGGAGGGAGGAGGAAAGAGAGAGUAUUAGGCUAACUUAAACUGUUAAGAAUGAUGAUUACACCCAAGGAUUUAGUAGGCAAAAGUUGGUGAAAUUAGUAAAUUUUGACUCUGCAUUAGUUUCUUAGGCAUCACUCGUCACAUUUGAGCCAUCCAGAAUGCAAAUACACUAAUCCAUCUGUUAAUCAAACUGUGAAGACCAAUUUGUAGAAUUCAAUUAAUCCACAUAAAGAAAAUUUAGAGAAUGAUUCACUUCAACAGUAAGCUAGGCAACAAAUGAGAUGAUUUUAAAAAGUAUUAAGCAGUAAGUUGUGACAACAAAAACAAAAACAAAGUCAUCAUUACUAUCUCAAUCACAGUCAUAUGCAGGCCAUUAGAAUAAUCAUGAUAAACGAACUUACCCGUGGAAUUACCUUCAAUUUGAAUGAUGCAAGUGAAAGUAACAUGUACCCUGUCAAAAGUUGAACUUGUGACUCUCCAGCAAAAAUGAGCAUACAACAGUUCUUUUGCUUUUAAUAAAGUCAAAUGAAGUGAGCCAAAAGAAGCAAUAGAAGGUCAAGGGUUAAAUCUCUUACAAACCCCUCCCUUUGAAAAUUUCCAAUGUACCGAAAAAAAGAGAGUGAAGAAAAAGACACGACUGACUGAGGCUCUUCUGUUUCACAAUUCACAAAUUAUCAAGUCCUCUACCCAGGAGAUCAUGAUGUAUGAUCAAGAAAUACAACUUUUUCUGCAUUAACAACUAGAGAACAAUGUAAGUAAUAAUAGAUGCCCAACUCUCCCAUACACCACUUAAGCAGCUACCCUACACGUACUCCAUAUGAAACAGUUUGUGGGUUCAGAAGCCUUUGUUUAUUUUGUAUUCUUAACUUCUAACAAGACGGAAUAUUUUCCAAGCCCAGGAGUCUUUUGUCCACGUAUUUUAUUCUUAACCUCUGGCAAGACGCACAAAAUUUUCCAAUCUCCAGAGACUUUUGUCCAGGUCGAACAUAGAACCUCUCCAAACUAUGCUGGUAGUUGUCACGUUCACAUCACUCUUCACUUCUGUAGUUGUCCACUUGGAUACUCACCUCAUUUGGGUAAACGAAAAAUUUUAUUUGAGCAAGAAGUCAAGUUUUAUUCAGAUAUGUACAAUAAAGUAAAUUGGUACACCUUAUUAUUUGGAAGAAAGAUUGUUAUGCCAGAUAUGGCCAUUGUGAACCCACUACAUAUUUUGGCAUAGCUAUUUCUAUGAUACAUUAAUGAGUAUUGCGGAUGCUUGCUGCAGGCAUGCAUGAUCUCGGGGAUAAACAAAAAGAACAUUCAAAUUUCAGAAUACAGUCGGACUAAGUGCAAGGAAUGAAAGGGUGUGUUCAUGUGCCACUCUCUUUGUGUUUUUUGCCUAGUGGUUUUCCUUUCCCUGUUUUUUCUCUAUUUAACCUCAGAUCUGCCACGCCCAAGUGGAAAUUUUUGUUUCUAUGUCUAAAGAAAUGAGCCUGAAAACACCACUUUCCAAGGAUGAAUCUGAUGCAACUAUCUCACUAUACAUUUCACAUACAUAGGUCGAUCCUUGAACUGAUCCAGCUCUUCUGGAAUUCGAACUACCCUUUCAACGCCUGGAGACGAAACCUGUGGGGAAACACAAAUUUUUAGGCCUUAAUGUUAAAAUUAACAAAUUGUUGAGAAGGCAAACUUCAUUCAUGUUUCAGCUCUUAUGUAGCCAUCACAGAUCCCACUCCUAAACCCAACAACUAAGAUGGCUAACUUCUCAGGCACACAAUAAAUAAGCAACCCACCUUUGCUAUUAAAAUAUCAUUAAUGAGCCAACUGGAUUUACUCAAUCUGUACACUAGAGUUUAAUUCAAGUGGGAAAAUGGAUUCAACAUCCAGCCCCUUCUCCCAAGGAUCAAAAAGAAAAGAAAAUAUAUGUUCUCAGACAAAGACACCCCAAUUAGCAACAUCAAGUUGUGCUGGCACAUAUGAACCCUAGUUUUCAUUUAAAUGAAAAGGAGUUCCCAAACACAGUGCAUUUCAAGUUGUCUGGUACUCUGGUCUCAAAUAAAAUACAAAACUUGGCAUAGACACACCUUGUUCAGUGUUUGCUUCUUAUCAGCACAACCUUUGGUAACCAAUCUAGUGACGAGUGUGAAAUAUUGAAAUUUGGACUCAAGCAUCAAAAGAUUGGCAAACAGCUUCAGCUAUUCUUAAUGUUUCUUUAUCCCAGAACCCAGUUCCCACCAUGUCCCAGCAAGGGCAAUUCCAGCUCCCCCACCCCCAUCUCCAACAUGGAGUUCUGCUUCAUUUCCACGUACUCAUCCUCCAAAUAGUCAUUGUGACCAUCCAUCAAUGCCU
rnacentral:misc_RNA from 1 species